AGGAAUAACGCGUGCUACCAUGCAGUCGAGCGGUAAGGCCCUUCGGGGUACACGAGCGGCGAAGGGGUGAGUAAGAGUGGGUAACCUGCCCUGUACUCUGGGAUAAGCCCGGGAAACUGGGUCUAAUACCGGAUACGACCUCUGAUGGCAUCUUCUGGGGUGGAAAGUUCCGGCGGUAUGGGAUGGACCCGCGGCCUAUCAUCUUGUUGGUGGGGUAAUGGCCUACCAAGGCGACGACCGGUAGCCGGCCUGAGAGGGUGACCGGCCACACUGGGACUGAGACACGGCCCACACUCAUACCGAAGGCAGCAAUGGGGAAUAUUGAUUGAUGGGCGAAAGCCUGAUGCAUCGACCCCGCGUGAGGGAUGACGGACUUCGGGUUGUAAACCUCUUUCAUUCGGGACGAACCGCAAGUGACGGUACCUGCUGAAGAAGACCGGCUAACUACUAGCCACCAGCCGCGGCGGUAAUUAGGGUGGGGGCGUUGUUCUCCAGUAUUAUUGGUCAAAAAGAGCUAGGAGGUUUGUUGUCUCGGCCGCCGAAACAUGGUGGUGCUUCCCCCCCUUGCUGCCGAUAAUACCGGAAGACUUUUCGUCGGGGGGGGAAUACUGAUUCCUCCUGGGAGUAGGUGGUGAAAUGCGCAUAUAUUGAGGAGGAACACCCGGUGGCGAAGGCGGGUCUCUGGGCCUAUACUGACUCUGAAGAGCAAAAGCGUGGGGAGAGCACGAGAUUAUAUACCCUGGUUCUCCCCCCCGUAAAGGGGGGGUGCUAGGUGUGGGGAGAUUUCCACGUCUUUUUGUGCCGCAGCUAACGCAUAUAAACACCCCCCUCCGGGGAAUACGGCCGCCAGGCUAAAACAUCAAAGGGAUUUACUGGGGGCCCGCCCAACCGGCGGAGCAUGUGGGUUAAAUUCGAUGCAACGCGGAGAAACUUACCUUGGGCUUUGACAUGCACUGGAAACCCACUACAG
rnacentral:rRNA from 2 species